UUGCUUGGACAAUAUAGAAAAUGGCGUGCAUGAUGCGGUACAUGUGAGAUAACGCGAGAAUUUCACCGAAAUAGUGUGAAAAUUUGAGUCUCGAUGUUUCGCUGAUAUCCCGAUUCCCGAAGGACUGGUGCUAAAGAUGGCGUCCCGUUAGGUUUACUGCCUCAAGAAUAUAAACCAAAAACUCAAUUUUUUUUUCUCGUGAUUUCGGUCAUUUUAUCAGGUUAUCUAACAUGUCCUGCAUUUUGUUCACGUUUUUAUAUUUUCCAGUAAAGAGGAAAAAGUUAAUAAACUAUCUCAAUGCGGACAGCUCUGAACUGAAAUUUUGAAAUGCCGGUCAGUAUCACUUUGUUUGUUUGUAUGGAGUUUUUACGUUGCAUGGAACCAGUAGUUAUUCAGCAACGGGACCAACGACUUUCGUCUGUGACAAAGCAACAUCUCGUUAUCUUGUGUAUCUCCUUCCAAACUGUGCGAUUAAUCAUUUAGGAAGGAGACUUAGAUGGCGACAUAAAUAGACACUUCUUUAAUAUAUUUUAUUGUUCUGUGGUCGACGUCACUGCGUGGGAAUUAACAUCGAGAGACGGUGGGAAACUGGGCAACCCUGUCUACCAUUUUCUCAAGUAGGUAUGCUGCAUUGGUGUGCUAUGUGUUAUUUGCCAGCUCUCCAAGCCGAGUUGAUACGUUUCCAAGAUUUAACAACCUAAUCUUCAGAUUUAAACUUAUACUCAGGAUUAAAGCAUUUCCCAGUGUUCCAAAUUAGGAAGAGCCUGCUACAGAUGUUCACAUUAAUGAGCUGAUAUCAUCCAAUGACUGGUAGAUAACAAUAAUGAGGACAAUGCUUCAUUACUCAAAAUCAGCUACAUGUACCAUGUACAAUACAUUAAGAACAUCCACACUAUAUUAUAUAUUUCAAUACAGAAAUGAAAAGCGAUACCACAUGUUAUCCUGUGCACUUACCUGGUGUGUCAACAAUAAGAUCAAGCUGAC